GUCUAUGGCCAUACCACCCUGCACACACCCGAUUUCAUCUGAUCUCAGAAGCUAAGCAGAGUCGGCCAUGGUUAGUACUUGGAAGGGAAACAUCACGUAGUGUUCCAAUUUUGAAUUCUAGCUACUUUUCUGACU
rnacentral:rRNA from 1 species